rnacentral:rRNA from 1 species
AGAAAUUCGAUUCCGUAAGUAGCGGCGAGCGAACGCGGAUUAGCCCAAACCAAUAAAGUUUUCUUUAUUGGGGUUGCGGACAUAUCAUAACGAAGAGGUAUCGUAAUUGAAGAGGUUUGGAAAGACCCACCACAGAAGGUAAUAGUCCUGUAUGUUAAACGAGAAGACUUUAGAUAUGAUCCAGAGUACCACGGGACACGUGAAACCCUGGGGGAAGCAGGAGGGACCACCCUCCAAGGCUAAAUACUACCUAGUGACCGAUAGCGUAUAGUACCGUGAGGGAAAGGUGAAAAGAACCCCGGGAGGGGAGUGAAAUAGAACCUGAAACCCUGCACUUACAAGCUGUGGAAGCACAUUUCUUGUGUGACCGCGUACUUUUUGUAGAACGGGCCGUCGAGUUUCGUUAAGUAGC